rnacentral:rRNA from 1 species
AUUGAACGCUGGCGGCAGGCCUAACACAUGCAAGUCGAACGGUAACAGGAAGCAGCUUGCUGCUUCGCUGACGAGUGGCGGACGGGUGAGUAAUGUCUGGGAAGCUGCCUGAUGGAGGGGGAUAACUACUGGAAACGGUAGCUAAUACCGCAUAAUGUCGCAAGACCAAAGAGGGGGACCUUCGGGCCUCUUGCCAUCGGAUGUGCCCAGAUGGGAUUAGCUUGUUGGUGGGGUAACGGCUCACCAAGGCGACGAUCCCUAGCUGGUCUGAGAGGAUGACCAGCCACACUGGAACUGAGACACGGUCCAGACUCCUACGGGAGGCAGCAGUGGGGAAUAUUGCACAAUGGGCGCAAGCCUGAUGCAGCCAUGCCGCGUGUAUGAAGAAGGCCUUCGGGUCGUAAAACUCUGUUAUUAGGGAAGAACAUAUGUGUAAGUAACUGUGCACAUCUUGACGGUACCUAAUCAGAAAGCCACGGCUAACUACGUG